AUGGUCCUGCUUUUCCUGGCAGCCUUGAUGGCACUGUCAGACUUUGGUCAUACACAGAAGGACACCGUGCUGCAGUUUUCACAAGAAACUGCCAUCCAGGUGGGACACAAUGCAACGCUGCAUUGCAAUUUCUCCACCAGCAGCUCGCUUCCCUACAUCUUCUGGUAUCAGCAGCGCCUGACCCAGUCCCCUCAGUUCUUGCUGCAGGUGAGCAAGUUCAAGCCUCAUGUGCAUUCCGGGAGGAUCUCCUCUGUGCUCUCCAUGGAGAACUCUCAGGUGCUUCUCCACAUGCAAGAUGCCAAGCUCCAGGACAGCGCUGUCUACCUGUGUGCACUGAGCCCACACUGGUGCCUGCAGCAUGCAGCUUUAUACAGGAAGGUGUGGGUGCUGUGA